CCCCGACCUGAAGGUCGGGGUUAUCAUAUCUCGCCCCUUCAGGGCU
rnacentral:sRNA from 1 species